rnacentral:hammerhead_ribozyme from 1 species
ACCCAGCGAACGAGUCCCAAAUAGGACGAAACCUGUGUCCUGGAU